rnacentral:rRNA from 1 species
UACGUAGGGGGCAAGCGUUGUCCGGAAUUAUUGGGCGUAAAGAGCGCGUAGGCGGUCCGAUAAGUCGGCUGUGAAAGUCCAGGGCUCAACCCUGGAAAGCCGGCCGAUACUGUCGGACUAGAGUCCGGAAGAGGCAAGUGGAAUUCCCGGUGUAGCGGUGAAAUGCGCAGAUAUCGGGAGGAACACCAAUGGCGAAGGCAGCUCGCUGGGACGUUACUGACGCUGAGACGCGAAAGCGUGGGGAGCAAACAGG